GACGAACGCUGGCGGCGUGCUUAACACAUGCAAGUCGAACGGAAAGGCCCUGCUUUUGUGGGGUGCUCGAGUGGCGAACGGGUGAGUAACACGUGAGUAACCUGCCCUUGACUUUGGGAUAACUUCAGGAAACUGGGGCUAAUCCCGGAUAGGAGCUCCUGCUGCAUGGUGGGGGUUGGAAAGUUUCGGCGGUUGGGGAUGGACUCGCGGCUUAUCAGCUUGUUGGUGGGGUAGUGGCUUACCAAGGCUUUGACGGGUAGCCGGCCUGAGAGGGUGACCGGCCACAUUGGGACUGAGGUACGGGCCAGACUCCUACGGGAGGCAGCAGUGGGGAAUAUUGCACAAUGGGCGGAAGCCUGAUGCAGCAACGCCGCGUGCGGGAUGACGGCCUUCGGGUUGUAAACCGCUUUCGCCUGUGACGAAGCGUGAGUGACGGUAAUGGGUAAAGAAGCACCGGCUAACUACGUG
rnacentral:rRNA from 1 species